UACGUAGGGUGCAAGCGUUAAUCGGAAUUACUGGGCGUAAAGCGUGCGCAGGCGGCUAUGCAAGACAGAUGUGAAAUCCCCGGGCUCAACCUGGGAACUGCAUUUGUGACUGCAUAGCUAGAGUACGGUAGAGGGGGAUGGAAUUCCGCGUGUAGCAGUGAAAUGCGUAGAUAUGCGGAGGAACACCGAUGGCGAAGGCAAUCCCCUGGACCUGUACUGACGCUCAUGCACGAAAGCGUGGGGAGCAAAAGGG
rnacentral:rRNA from 1 species